GCUCAUAAUCAAAACAAGUAAAAAUGGCGGAGGUUGUAGUAAUUUUAUUAACUGUGGCAUUUGGACUUUUGGUAAUUUAUAUUGUGUCUGUACUAUCCCGAAAACCUAGAAGAGUUAUAUCUCAUAGAGAGCUUUUAAAUACCAGGCAGAAGUAUUUUGCUGACCAGUCAAGUAAACAAAAGAAGGGAGCGGCUAUAAUACCUCAAGAAAAUGUAGAAAGUGAUGAUCUAAAAGUUAAAAUUAUUUCUAAAAAUGAAACAAAUGAAUCUAAUAAGCACUGCAGUGCUGUUGUUGAUAUUUCAUCUUCAUUGUUGAAGGAUGUACACAUUGCUUCACAACCUGUUAUAGAGCCUAUAUCAUCUCUUGAGAAAUUGUUAACUUGGAUACCUGGCUAUGAGGAAUUCGCAGUUGCGAGGAUAUCUAUUCGUUCUGUUCAAAAUGAUGGGAAACCGAAAACUCUAGUGUGUCAUGAUAUGAAGGGUGGUUAUUUAGAAGAUAGAUUCUGUCAAGGUUAUCAAUCAGACAAAUGCUACCAUUUACAUUAUUGGAAUCUAAUUGAUACUUUUUGUUAUUUUUCCCACAAUUUUAUUACCAUACCGCCUCCCUGUUGGACUAAUGCUGCUCAUAUCCAUGGAGUUAAAAGUUUAGGGACUGUUAUUACCGAAUGGAAUGAAGGUGCUGUCAUCUGUGAAGAAAUGUUAGAAAGUGAGAAGCAAAUAAAGAGAAGUGUUGACCAGUUGGUGCGAAUUGCAGAAUACUACCAAUUCGAUGGAUGGUUAGUUAACAUCGAAAAUGAAAUUAAGCCAGACAGAGUCCAGAAUGUUGUGUUAUUCUUGAAAAUGCUAACCGAAUCCAUGCACCAGGCGAUCAAAGGUUCAGAAGUGAUUUGGUAUGAUAGUGUUAUCAAUACUGGUCAAUUGAAGUGGCAAAACAAACUUUGUUCGGUUAAUAGAAUCUUCUUCGAUGUAUGUGACGGAAUAUUUUUGAAUUAUAAUUGGUCAAUUCAUGACCUGCAAGAAUCUUUAUAUUUGAGUGGUGCAGAACGCCAAUUAGAUGUAUAUGUGGGCGUUGAUGUCUUUGGGCGUGGUUGUUUUGGUGGCGGAGGAUGGAACACUUACAAGGCACUGCCAGUGAUCAGAGAUAAAAGAUUGUCUGCGGCUAUCUUUGCACCUGGCUGGGUAAUGGAGAAAUUUGGAGAAGACGAAUUUCCUAAAAAUAAUCAAAAAUUCUGGGAAGUGUUAUCAUCAUAUCUCUACCCCCAUUAUGUUUCAUCGUUACCGGUAGUUUCGUCGUUUUGUCGUGGCUAUGGUACAUACGUUUUUCGAGACGGCAUGAAGUUGUCAAGCAAACCUUGGACCAAUCUCAGUGCACAAUCCUUGCAACCAACCUUUUCAAGUUCUUUUUACCAACUGGGACCAAAAUCAGGAAUGUCGAUAGAAAGUCUGAAUUACUGUACUUCAGAUGGCUUUAACGGGGGAGGAUGCAUCGAAAUUAAUGGGUUUGUAUCACCAAAGGAGGAGCAGACAAGGACAGUGUUUAGAUUAUAUAAAGCAGCCAUCACUCUUCAACCUGAUGAAGAAUAUUUUGUUUCAUAUACAUUUAAAACAUCUUCACCCCAUAUGCAAGUCUUUUUGCUGUUGAUAUGCAAAAAUCAUCCUAUUUAUAUCGUCUUCACUCCAAAAAAAGAAAAUGUGAUUAAGUAUUCAAAUGAUUCGUACACCGUGCCAGAAGAUCAAAAUGAUAAUUACACAUUCGUUGAGCAAAGUAGAUGCUCAGAAGUAAGCAAAGAAGAUAUAGAUCAAUGGAACACAAGAGAUUUUACUUUUCGUGUUGAGCAACUACGUGAUCUACAAGAAAUUCGGUUGGCUUGUACAACUGGUGGGCAUAGUGAAGAGAUAGAAAAACAUGCUUUUGCAGUGAGAUUCGGAGAACUCAGGGUGGAAAAAUCAUGCAAACGUAACGCGUCCAUUCCGCCACCCGUCAAUCCUCGGUGCCGUAAUGUUAACGUCUUUUCAAAAGGGGCCGUCAAAUGCAUCAGCUUUACACUUUCCUGGGACUAUAAACUAAAAACAAAUGAAACAGCUCCGAAAUGCUAUGAUAUAUUUUGUAAGGGUAUGUGUGGCCAUGAAAACAUAUUAAUUAGCGAAAAAGAUGACCAGAGCGUAUCAAUGAAAUCUGGAGAACAAUUUAUCGGACGAGCAUACACCGUUGCGUAUUAUGUCACUGAUUUAUUUGUUCCAGAAGUUUGCGAAGAAGGUUUGGUCUUCACAGUACAGAGUAUAGGUGAUAAUGACAAUCGCCUGCCGUUAGAUUUAUGCCCUAAUGUGUGUUUGAAGUGCUCUUCUUCUAAGAGGUGAUCGUACAAGAGAAAAUUAAUAUUUCCUAGCAAUAUCACACAGGAAUAAAUUGGUACUUCGUCGAACUGUGCAUCGCAAUACAAUGAAUAACCUUUCAGAUGUGAUUUGAGUUACGUGUAACCAAAUGGCAAUUAUGUCGAUAAGUGCCAUGACAAAUACAAGAAAAAUAAAUACAGCUUCCAAGGAUUUUGCAGCAGAAUCACCAGAUUGCCAGUGUCUGACUUUAAAUUCGUUAAUAAUAAUCACAAGACCACAAAUCAAGUCUGCAAGGUAGGAGAAGGUAAAAAGCUGGUAUCCAGUUCGUGUGUUGGUAGAACAGAAACAACAACAACAAACCAUAACAAUAAUAUCCAAGGCAAACAUUGCAUAUUUUAUGUACAUUCCUACCGAGGUAGUGUAACUCAAGUCUAAGUAAAUCCUGUCCUCUUUGGUUUCUUCUAAAAUUUGAUAACUCUCUCUUGCUGCAGCAUGACGAAAGAGGAGAAAUCCUAUGUGUGGAAGGAGGCAAAAAAAAAAUAUGAAAAUUCUGAUAACUUUGAAGCGUCUUCGAGUUAGCAUGGCUUAUAGAAAUUGAAUUCACCGUCUCAGCUACAAACCUUGACGUUUUAUUUUUUUAAACGUGCACCAGUUCGUUUGUGAGAGUCUGUGCUACUCCAUUUCCACUUUAAAAUUUCAGAAGGCAAUAUUAAAGUUGCAUUGCUUGUUUACUUUCGAUUUAAUUCGACCUUGCAUAAAUUUAAAACAAAGCAAAUUCUGGCCUGGCUGGUAGUGUUAUGGUGGGUUCAAACGCUACCCGUCUGAAACUGCAAAAGUUUAAAUUGAUUCCUAUUGAUUGCUGUUAAGCAUGUGAGUACGAUUAUUAUCUUAAAUGAUUGUCUAGUUGAGCGGUUCCUCUGCUUACACGGAUUUCGUAGCUUAAAUAGGAGCUUCAAACGUAGAUCACCUUCGUGAAGCCUCUUCAAUAACAGAACCAAUAAGAAAACAAAUUAGUGCUUGAUCCUUGGUGACAGUAAUGUUGGUUUCCACAUAACUAGCUUCUUCAAGUACCUUUAUCGUGUUCUAGUAAGAGGUGUUGAAGUAUAGCCUGCAAAAUGAUACCAAGUAUUAAAAGUAAACAAGUAUUCACUGUGUCAAUAUUUGCUUGUUAAAAGAGAGUAUUUCAUCAGGCCAUCCUAUAUUUCAUUUGAUACUAUUCUAUCUUUAUUAUUUAUUAUUUAUUUAUUAAAUCUUAGCAGAUUUUAACCUGGUUUAUUAGGCGUUUUUAUGUAUUGAGGGAAAGUAAACAAAUCGUUUAACGAAUUCCUUUCUUGAUAUUUGUGUUUUGGUAAGUUCCAGAGGAAAUAGAUACUUUUAAACUACUUGGACACUCUUUUGGUGAGAUAGUAAUAAUAAUGUUGCUGAAGUAAAGGUUUCGUGAAAGUGUUCCAAAAUAGAUGUUGAUGGAAUCUGGCUUGAAAAAUAGUCGAAAUAUUUGUCCACACUCUCCAUUUUGAAAGCGGUGAGAUCAUUUAUAAUAUUAACAAAAACAUUCUUGGAAAGCAAGUGGUUCUGUGUGUCGUUACAUACUUUACGUAGACUUUCCAGUGAAAUGCCAGGGAUUAUUUCUUCUGUCUUACAUAGAUAAGUUGCUAUUUGUUACAAAACUUUGCGAUAGUUUUUAAACAUGCGCGAGCAGGGGCGGAUCUAGGAAUUUUUUUUGGUUAGGCAAAAUUUCAUAGAUUUUUUGGCAAAGUAAUGUCAAGGGUUGUGGUGUUGUACGAGGUAAAUCGGCCGUUUUGUGUUUUUGCUGUAAAAGGAACUAAAAUUUUCCCAAAAGUAAGGUUUUUAGUUAUUAAGAAUCCUUCUAGAUUAGAAACGAAAGUUUCUUUAUAGCCAAACAAAUAACAGUAACCCCCGUAGUUUUACCACUUUAUCCUUGUUAAAACAUGCGGAUGGAAAAUGCGUCCGGUUAGCAAAUUCGAUUUAAAACAGGGUUAGCGUUUCCAUAAUUUCUUUGAAUCACAUACUGGUAUUAAGUAUCUUAGCAUCUUUUUUCGUUUUACGCACAUAAUACGAGAACAAGUAAUAAGUUGGGGAUUUGCUUCAUUUCAAAACAUGCAAUAAGUCUAAUAACUAACAAUACAACAAAAAAUUACAUUACAAGACAAUUUUAGGAAUAGAUAGUCAACAGUAGUGCAACGUAGAAAUAUUGUUUGGAAAAUUAUAGUCUGUGUUAAGAACCUGCAAAUGCACAAAGAAAACCAGCAUAUAAAAGAAUGAAAGAUUUCCAGUUAGACUUACAGUGUAAGAUCGCAACAUAUAAUAAACGUGUACAAAAAGUAUAUAGUAAUCACCUCUUCAUGAAGUUAAUACAGUUUAGCAUCAGGGUUACUGGUGUAGUUUUGCACCAAUUUCUAUUAAGCAUUAAUUUUAAUGCUAUGAAAUUCCCACAAGAGAAAGGCAGUUUAUUAAGCCAGAAAAGAGUUAGAAAUUAGAAAAAUAACAUCAAAACAUUUAACAUGUCUCAUAUUAUUUACCCUUACAUGUCCCUGUCAACUAUGUUUAAAAAAUAUUUUAAUACUGUAAAAUCUU